UCAAGUCAGAAAAGUACACGACUCUAGUUAAUUGCAAGCCCAUCUUUGGGCCAUUUCAAACUGGCACAUCAAUUUUGGUUUUCCUAUCCGCCACCUGGCGCUGGCGGCGGCUCCUCAAUCUCUAAAUGUACCCAGUCUCUUGCUCUGUUUACAGUUCGAUUAAAUAUAUUCUUGCGUUUGUAUACGUACGUAUGUAACUAAGUGAACCUGAAUCGUAUACUCAUAGAUGUAAAACUAUAUACUAUGCUAAAUAUCAAUACAAAUAUAUGUAUGUAUCUAAAAUAUUGAUUAUGUAUCUCGAAAUUCUUGGUACGUUUAUUAAAAUGAGACUGUUAUCGUGUAGUACGAGUGCUAAGUACCAUAUGUACCA